CGCCAGCGCAGCCCCGCCGCCAGCAGUUGUUGUCCAGCGCGCAAGCUUGCUGCAGCAGCUUGGAUGUGUUGCUUCGCCAGGGAUGCAGAGUCCUCGAGCUCGUCCCAGGUGCCCUCGCUGCGUGUUAGGGCCCCCUCGACCCUCGUUCUCGUGGGACAGGACGCGGCCAAGCUCCAGCGCCGACUCGUCCCCAUUCCGCCUCGGCCUCGACCCCAUCUCCAGCAGGCCUCGACUCCAUCUCCAGCAGGUUAAGGCCCCGACUAGGUCGACCCCGCUGCCCCCUUCUUCUCUCUGUCAGUGCGUGUUGCUCCUCCUCCUCUCUCUAAUAUUCUCUUCCUCUCUCGUUGCAAUCAGGAGCAGCCAUGGAGGCGCCGAGGUCCUUCAAGCCGUGCCUCGAUCUAUGGCUGCCGGUGACCGGAGUCGUCAUCUAGCUCGGAAAUGGGACCCCCUUGACCGGAU
rnacentral:lncRNA from 1 species